rnacentral:rRNA from 1 species
UACGUAGGGUGCAAGCGUUGUCCGGAAUUAUUGGGCGUAAAGAGCUCGUAGGCGGUUUGUCGCGUCUGCUGUGAAAACGCGAGGCUCAACCUCGCGCCUGCAGUGGGUACGGGCAGACUAGAGUGCGGUAGGGGAGAUUGGAAUUCCUGGUGUAGCGGUGGAAUGCGCAGAUAUCAGGAGGAACACCGAUGGCGAAGGCAGAUCUCUGGGCCGUUACUGACGCUGGAGGAGCGAAAGCGUGGGGAGCGAACAGG